UAGUAUAUGGGGAUCUUUGUGUGGUGAAUAUUCAUAGUGGGUUGUGAAAAAGAAGGGAUGAUUUUGUGUUACUUUUUACUCUUAUGAGCUCUAGAAAAGUUGUGGAAAUAAAAGAAAAAAAAAUGUUGAGAAAAAAAGAGAAAAAAAAAGAAGAAAAAAAAAGAAAAAGAAAGAGAAAAGAAAAAAAUAUAAAGUCGAGUGUUUAUUGAGAAAUUUGUUUGAAAGUCGACUUUGUGUGUUGGAAAGAAGUUGAGAGCAUAAAAGAGUGUUUAGUUCUGUUUUGUGAUGAUUAAAUCCCUUGAGUUUUGUUGAUUAUGG
rnacentral:lncRNA from 1 species